AUUGAACGCUGGCGGCAUGCCUUACACAUGCAAGUCGAACGGUAACAGGUCUUCGGAUGCUGACGGGUGGCGAACGGGUGAGUAAUACAUCGGAACGUGCCUAGUAGUGGGGGAUAACUACUCGAAAGAGUGGCUAAUACCGCAUGAGAUCUACGGACGAAAGCAGGGGAUCGCAAGACCUUGUGCUACUAGAGCGGCCGAUGGCAGAUUAGGUAGUUGGUGGGAUCAAAGCUUACCAAGCCGACGAUCUGUAGCUGGUAUGAGAGGACGAUCAGCCACACUGGGACUGAGACACGGCCCAGACUCCUACGGGAGGCAGCAGUGGGGAAUUUUGUACAAUGGGCGCAAGCCUGAUCCAGCAAUGCCGCGUGCAGGAUGAAGGCCUUCGGGUUGUAAACUGCUUUUGUACGGAACGAAAAGCCCUGGGUUAAUACCCUGGGGUCAUGACGGUACCGUAAGAAUAAGCACCGGCUAACUACGUGCCAGCCGCCGCCGUAA
rnacentral:rRNA from 1 species